AUUUCUAACCUUCUCUAUCCACGGUAUCCUCAUCAUUCGCGAUAUUCUUUAACAAUUUUCAAAUAACUGACAUGUUUAGUACUAGUUGAAUCUGUAGGCAAAGUCAAAAAUAAUGCUAUUGAUGCGAUUGUCGUUCAAGAAAUCAUAAUUUUCUAACAACACAUCUCAAUGAAACUGACCAAUUAAUGUCAUCAAUCUGUGGAGUAAAUGUUAGAAUAAUUCAUCAUUAAUGUGGAAGUGGUAACACUGAUUUCCAAAUUAUCUUCUCCUAGAUUUCUCAAAAAACUAAAUACGUCAUUUGCAAUUCGUUAGUCUUGUAUCCAAAACUUCGAUAGUUACUCAUUCGAUGUUUUUCAAGUAUGUCCAGUAGUUUUCUUGAUUGUUUGUUCUCGUGCUAUAGAAAAAUCACCCCCUUCCCAGCCCCUACCUUUCUAAAUGAUCGUGCGUGCCUCAGUUUCUCAAAUCUUUCAAUUUCUUCAAUGUCAUAAUCAGAUCGAGUCCUUUUCUUGCAGUUGAAUUUACACUCUAUCUAAAUCACGCCGAAUGCCGAAUGCCAUCAUCAUAACAAAUUUCACAAUUAAUGAUUUCACAUUUACAGAAUCUUCUACUACAAAUUUUACAUUUGAAUCGCUUUUGUGGUGUUAAAGGAAGGUUUUAAAAAUACAUUGACUAGAAAUGAUUAGAACUGGGGUGGUAUUAGAAAGGGUAGGAAAACAGAGUGUUGUGGGAAUUAUUAAGUAAUUGGCGGGAUAGUUUGGUACCAGGACACCUUCUCAGAUACAAUUAGCUGAUCAGAAGCAUAUUAGAAGCAAAAAGAGGGAGCCCGAGUUUUAAUGUUAUGUAGAAACACAGAAAAAGCGCAAGAAGCUGCUGAAGAUAUAAAAAAGCAAUGUACUG